rnacentral:rRNA from 1 species
GAUCCUGGCUCAGAUUGAACGCUGGCGGCAGGCCUAACACAUGCAAGUCGAACGGUAACAGGAAGCAGCUUGCUGCUUUGCUGACGAGUGGCGGACGGGUGAGUAAUGUCUGGGAAACUGCCUGAUGGAGGGGGAUAACUACUGGAAACGGUAGCUAAUACCGCAUAACGUCGCAAGACCAAAGAGGGGGGACCUUCGGGCCGUCUUGCCAUCGGAUGUGCCCACGAUGGGAGUUAGCUAG